rnacentral:lncRNA from 1 species
GCAGGGAAAGGCCAGAAAACAGGAGCUUAAUCCUUCCUCAGUGUCCGGACAAAGGACAACACACUGUGAGACAAAGGGAUAAAUCAUCAGAAAGAGAUUUUAAAAGGACAUUUGAGGAAAGGGAUUGUUGCAGGAGAGAUGAAGGCUCACUAAUGGAUUGAUAAUGCCAGGAACUGGCAAGACUGCAUGUGUUUUGGAACUGAAUUCUGCCCAUGCAACCAGGGGCACAGAAAUUACUUCUCUCUUUUAUCUCAUGUGUGACAGCUAACAAUUUAAUCUGCGUUGUUCAUUAUGCGGGUUGGCUUCUCUUCCUAGUUAGUGGAUUACGGAAACAAAAAGCGCUGUAGUUGUGAAACAAUUACUCUGAUCUUCCAAUUGUUUGUGUGUUACAAAGCAAGAUAAUCUUUCAGAUAUUAAGCAAAUACAUUUAGGCUCUCAAUAACUUGACAUUCAGAAAUGUGCUAGGUGUUCUGAUAAGCAGCUCGUAGGCUCGGGUUUCAUCUGGAGGUCAACUUAACAAGAGGUGUCAUGGGAACAAUAACUUGGAGUCCCUCUUUGAUCAAUCGCUUAUAUGGAGUUACUUCAUUUCCCUUUUAAAGAAAAAAUCUCCCUGGAGUCUGAGGUGAGAUCUGCAGGAGUCUUUGCAGAUUCAGUGUUAGAUGCUGUGUAAAACAGCACUGGGGAUGACUGCUGUCUCUUCUGAUCCUUCCAAACUCUUAUACUAGCUUUUAAAAAUUGUGCAGAAGUGGAGACCCCACGUGUUGCCUGAGAUGGACCUGUUCUAGGUCGAGCGACUGCCACCCUGGGGCGUACUCUGGAUCACAAGUGCGGCUCUUACGUAUUGACCUUCUGGCUCUGGACAACGUUGGAAGUGCAGAACUGUCUGGUAUACGUAAAACACCAAGAUUGUCUUGGAUACACACCACCGGCAUAUCGAGUGGAAGGAUGUCUGAAAAGCUCUCACGCAAAUUCAUGGUGGAGGCCAUUAAUACAGUAACCAUUCAGAUGCAUCUUCUGCAUCAAGAUCCCUUGGACCUGCAGCUGUUGCAGCUCUGUUUCUUGGGAGACCCAGUGAAGUGGUGGCCUUAA